AUUGAACGCUGGCGGCAGGCCUAACACAUGCAAGUCGAGCGGAGCGGCGGACGGGCGAGUAAUGCCUAGGAAUCUGCCUGGCAGUGGGGGAUAACGUCCGGAAACGGGCGCUAAUACCGCAUACUAUCAGACGAGCCUAGGUCGGAUUAGCUAGUGGGUGGGGUAAAGGCCUACCAAGGCGACAAUCCGUACCUGAUCUGAGAGGAUGGUCAGUCACACGGGAGUGGAGACGCGGUCCGGACUCCAACGGGAGGCGGGGGUGGAGAAUGGAGGACAAGGGACGGAGGCCUGAGCCAGCCAUGCCGCGUGUGUGAAGGAGGGCAUCGGAUUGUAAAGGACUAUGAGUUGGGAGGCGUUACCAGCAGAAUAAGCACCGGCUAACUACGUGCCAGCAGCCGCGGUAAUUC
rnacentral:rRNA from 1 species